rnacentral:rRNA from 1 species
GUCCAGACUCCUACGGGAGGCAGCAGUGGGGAAUAUUGCACAAUGGGGGAAACCCUGAUGCAGCGACGCCGCGUGAGUGAAGAAGUAUUUCGGUAUGUAAAGCUCUAUCAGCAGGGAAGAAAAUGACGGUACCUGACUAAGAAGCCCCGGCUAACUACGUGCCAGCAGCCGCGGUAAUACGUAGGGGGCAAGCGUUAUCCGGAUUUACUGGGUGUAAAGGGAGCGUAGACGGCAUGGCAAGUCAGAUGUGAAAGCCCGGGGCUCAACCCCGGGACUGCAUUUGAAACUGUCAGGCUGGAGUGCAGGAGAGGUAAGUGGAAUUCCUAGUGUAGCGGUGAAAUGCGUAGAUAUUAGGAGGAACACCAGUGGCGAAGGCGGCUUACUGGACUGUAACUGACGUUGAGGCUCGAAAGCGUGGGGAGCAAACAGGAUUAGAUACCCUCGUAAA